CAGAGGGUGCAAGCGUUGCUCGGAAUCAUUGGGCGUAAAGGGUAGGUAGGAGGUCUCAUUUGUCAGGGGUGAAAGCCUUGGGCUUAACCAAGAAGUGCCCCUGAAACGGUGAGACUAGAGUCUUGGAGAGGGUCGUGGAAUUCCCGGUGUAGCGGUGAAAUGCGUAGAGAUCGGGAGGAACACCAGAGGCGAAAGCGGCGGCCUGGACAAGUACUGACACUCAACUACGAAAGCGUGGGGAGCAAACAGGAUUAGAUACCCUGGUAGUCCACGCUGUAAACGAUGGGUACUAGGAUUGGUGGGUCUUGACCCCUGCUGAUCCGGAGCUAACGCACUAAGUACCCCGCCUGGGAAGUACGGUCGCAAGACUA
rnacentral:rRNA from 1 species